GCGCUAAAAUCUGAAACACCAAAAUAUCUCAUAUUGGGAAUUAAUGGAGAAAAAAAAAAAUACAAUUAAGCCUAAAGAGUGAGACAGUGAAGUCCAAGAAAAAGGAGCAGCAUGCUUCUUCUUCCAUCUUCCAGCAAUAUGAUAUCAUCAACAAUACAGACCUAGACAAAACAAAACUAAACUUCAACAUAUCACAACACAGACAACAUUAACUAAACAAAAAUAAAUCUCUCUCUCUCUCUCUCGCUCUCUCUGUCUCAAAUCUCACCUCUUGCUGUGGUGCAGAUCUCAAGGGGGAUCUGAAGGGAGGUGAGGUUUUGAUUGGGGGAGGGGGCAAGACGCCUCCUUUUUAGGGUUUUCUACAAUGGCCACACCCUUUACGUUUCCCCUCUCCGCUACUCAGGUGGGUACCUACUUUGUGGGGCAGUACUACCAUGUUCUUGAGACCAAGCCCGAGUUGGUGUAUCAGUUCUACUCUGACGCCAGCACUGUGAUACGAAUUGAUGGCAAUGCCAGGGACACUGCCACUGCAAUGCUGCAAAUCCACGCGCUUAUUAUGUCAAUCAGUUUUACUGGAAUUGGAAUCAAGACAGUACAAUGUCUGGAAUCUUGGAGUGGUGGCGUUCUUAUAUCGGUUUUUGGUUCUGCACAACUAAAGGACUACAAUGUGAGGAGGAAAUUUAUGCAAUUAUUCUUCCUUGCACCCCAAGAAAUGGGCUUCUUUGUGCUCAAUGAUAUUUUUCACUUUGUUGACGAGGAGCCAGUUCAUAAUCUCCAGCCUGCAUUUUUGGCUCAGAGCAAUUUUGACUCAAAAUUAAAUGCUCCUAGUACAAUUAAUAAACCAGUUUCCAACUACCUGUUGGGUGGAGAUAUACAGGCAAGGGACUUCGGUGCUACAAAUGAGGUCAAAGAAAACGGGGCAGUCAAUACCUAUGGAUUUUCACAGCAACAAAUUGCACAAGUCCAUGAAUCUGAACAUGUUCAGGAAGAUGUCAUCGCUGAAGAGUCACAUGGUUUUUUUCAACCUUCUGUGAAUGAUGUACAAGAACAUGCACCUUCUUCUGCCGAAGAACCUCCCGAGGAGCCCCUAAAACAUACUUAUGCUUCCAUCUUACAGGUUGCUAAAGGACAAGUUACACCAUCUGUAGCUUCUCAGCCAUCUCUGAAGAAGGUGCCUUCUUUGGACAAGGAGCAUUCUACACCAACUAGUAGUCAGAAAACACCUACAUUGACUAAAGCAUUUGAAAGGUCUGAAACUGAUGUAGCGGAGGACAUUCCCACAGCUGAUGAUGAAGAUGAAAUCAAAUCUGUUUAUGUGAGAAACUUGUCCCCUACCGUCUCUGCUUCUGAAAUUGAAGAGGAAUUGAAGAAUUUUGGCAGGAUUCGACCUGAUGGUGUAGUCAUAAGAAGUCGCAAGGAUGUGGGAGUCUGCUAUGCAUUUGUUGAAUUUGAAGAUAUGAAUGGGGUUCAUAAUGCAGUCAAGGCAGGAUCUGUUGAAGUAGCAGGAAGACAAGUAUACAUUGAGGAACGAAGACCAAACAGUAACAUCCCUUCCCGAGGAGGAAGGAGGGGCAGAGGAAGAAGUGGCUAUCAAUCAGAUGCACAGAGAGGGCGUUUUGGUCCAAGGAGCUAUGGCAGGGGAAAUGGGCAAGAUGGAAGUGAAAGAGAGUACAAUAAAACAAGAGGAAACGCUUUCUAUAGACCCACUACCCGCCAAUAGAGGGGGUAUUGAGAUUAUCAAGAAUAUCACUUGAACAUGGCUCUGCCUCUAAAUUUCAGCUUUCCCCAUCAUCUGUUUCCCAGAGAAAGGACGUAUAUGCUGCUAGAACAUUGCUGAAAGAAGAAAAGUUGUAACAGUUGCAUCUUAAUUAUUUAUAAUUACAAACAUGUUCAGAAGCAUAACGUUUUAUAUAAGAUGUGUCUCAAAACUGUACCUAUUCCCAGGAGUAGCCUGAACUGCUUGCUCAAAUAAAAAUGAAGCUUUUUCCUCGUCA